GUGCUAGCGUAGGCAGCAGGUAUACUAAGAUUGGAACGAUACAGAGAUUAGCAUGGUCCCUGCGCAAGGAUGACGUGCAAAUAUGAGAGGCAUUCCAUAUUUAA